rnacentral:scRNA from 1 species
GUAUUCCCGCUGCAGUCGGCCAAAUAGUGGUC